rnacentral:rRNA from 1 species
UGGCUCAGGAUGAACGCUGGCGGCGUGCUUAACACAUGCAAGUCGAACGAAACACCUUAUUUGAUUUUCUUCGGAACUGAAGAUUUGGUAAUUGAGUGGCGGACGGGUGAGUAACGCGUGGGUAACCUGCCCUGUACAGGGGGAUAACAGUCAGAAAUGACUGCUAAUACCGCAUAAGACCACAGCACCGCAUGGUGCAGGGGUAAAAACUCCGGUGGUACAGGAUGGACCCGCGUCUGAUUAGCUGGUUGGUGAGGUAACGGCUCACCAAGGCGACGAUCAGUAGCCGGCUUGAGAGAGUGAACGGCCACAUUGGGACUGAGACACGGCCCAAACUCCUACGGGAGGCAGCAGUGGGGAAUAUUGCACAAUGGGGGAAACCCUGAUGCAGCGACGCCGCGUGAGUGAAGAAGUAUCUCGGUAUGUAAAGCUCUAUCAGCAGGGAAGAAAAUGACGGUACCUGACUAAGAGGCCCCGGCUAACUACGUGCCAGCAGCCGCGGUAAUACGUAGGGGGCAAGCGUUAUCCGGAAUUACUGGGUGUAAAGGGUGCGUAGGUGGUAUGGCAAGUCAGAAGUGAAAACCCAGGGCUUAACUCUGGGACUGCUUUUGAAACUGUCAGACUGGAGUGCAGGAGAGGUAAGCGGAAUUCCUAGUGUAGCGGUGAAAUGCGUAGAUAUUAGGAGGAACAUCAGUGGCGAAGGCGGCUUACUGGACUGAAACUGACACUGAGGCACGAAAGCGUGGGGAGCGAACAGGAUUAGAUACCCUGGUAGUCCACGCCGUAAACGAUGAAUAAUAGGUGUCGGGGCCGUAGAGGCUUCGGUGCCGCAGCCAACGCAAGUAAGUAUUCCACCUGGGGAGUACGUUCUCAAGAAUAAAACUCAAAAAAAUUAACACACACCCCCACACCCCCUCCAUCAUUUAUUUUAAUUCAAAACAACACGAAAAACCUUACCUAUUCUUUACAUCCUUCUUACCNAUCCUUAACCAAACCUUUCCUUCUUUACAACAAUAACACAUAAUACAUAAUUAUCUUCACCUCUUCUCUUUAAAUAUUAUAUUAAAUCCCCCAACCAACACAACCCCUAUCUUUAUUAUCCACCAUAUAAAAUACCCACUCUAUAAAAACUCCCACCCAUAACCUAUAAAAAAAUAAAAACAACAUCAAAUCAUCAUUCCCCUUAUUACCACACCUACACACCUCCUACAAUAACAUAAACAAAAAAAAACACCCUCCUCAUAAUAAACAAAUCCCAAAAAUAACA